GCACUGAGUGCUGCAGUGCCCUGCCGCACCACGUGCUGGCCUCCAAACUGAGGCAGAACUGCAACCAUUCAGACCCAACUAAAAUGACAUUUGGUAGAGUCAAUCAAUACUCUCCAAGUUAUUUCCCCAAAUAGCCACACGUUUGGCUUAAAAGCACUUGGCUGGCUGCCCUUUAAAAACAUCCCGCAGCAGAAUUGCCAGGUCAGAGCCUGAAGCAAUUGCUGAGCACCAGGUGAGAAGGUGGGACUCUUGGUCUGCUUGUGAACUGCUAAUAGGGCCUGAAACAGCAGUGCAUGUACCAGGGCAGCCAGCAGACUCUCUUGAAACGCGUUUCAAUUUCUCAACACCAUCAUCACUGGUCAUGCCAUAUCACCAACAAGACUGUUACUCCAGCAGUUUUCUUGGAGGUUUCCACAAGUGCCUGAAGUUCACCGAGUCUCAGGCACCUCAGGGAUUACUUCAGGGCCAACUUGCCAUCAUCUGCCUUAAGGAGAGCAAGAGAAAUAAAUGCCACAGAUGAGGUACCCCUGCCUUCAGCAGGUGGAUGGCUCAGCACAGUCAGGGUACAAGAGGAGCUGCAGCCAGGACCAGAGCCUCAGCAAGGAAAGCCAGGACUGCACCAGCAGAGGUAAGACAGAUGAACCAGCACUGAGAAUUGAGCUGGAGGAGUUGCAGCUGUGAUUACAGGAGGGAUAAGGACAAGACCAGAGGAUACAACUCUGACAUCUUUGAUCCAUUUGUUUACAUCUGUACCCUCGAUACACAGCACAGCUGACUUAGUUUAACUGCGUACUUCCACACAACUUACAAGCUUGCCUUGAAAUUCGAAUCUGGGCCUUGCUACAACUUCCAGCUAUGUUCAUUCAUUAUCUGCUGGCAAAGAGCUGCAGAUUAAGUUCUGCCUCCUUCGUAUCACUUACGUGCGCAGUGGAUACUUUGCUGGCAGUUUUACCAGUUGGGAGUUAAAAAUAAAGCAGAUACAUUUGAUCAGCUUCAGCGCAAGGUAUGAAGGCUCUGAACGCCGCUUCGAAGAAUCAUUCAGCUAGCUACAGUGACUGCUUCGUUCUCCAACUCAUCAGUCAGUAUGAUGGUUUUUUUCUCCUAUAAUUCUUUAUUUCCAAGGCAUCCUUGAGAGAGCUGUAAAGUUCUAUGGUUCCCUCCUGUAAGCAUCAUUCCUGCUGUAAGUAAACACUAAGACAAUGUAAUACUCUCACAAUAUACAACUCAAGAACCUUCUUCGGAGGAGAUAUUUAGGGCAGAUGAUAAAACAGAGUUAGAUGCUAAGAAGCUCCCUCACAAAGUGGUUCUAUUAAAGCCUACUGCAGCCUUAUUGCUGCAGUACGGUGCCCUUCAAAAGGGGUACCGCCUCUUGCUUGCAGCUUGUCAAGCAACAUCAUAGUUGCUAUGAAGGUGCAAACAGGCCUUUACUGUUGCAGAUCUAAUAACAAGUCCCAGUGACCGUUUUAACCGGGCUUGUUGUGUCUGGCCUCAUUGACAGAGUUGAAAAAAAAAUCUAAUUGCUUCUGAAAAUGAGUGAGUUUAGACAAAGCACUGCAGAAUAUUUGAUAUUUACAAAAUAUUAAGUUGUGUGCCAAGCCCCAGGUUUUUAACCAGGAGUCACCUGCUCUCAUUAUAGAAGAUUCUUGCUAUGAGGAAGCUUGUUCCCAUAGGAACGCAGUCAUGCUGGUAUAAUGGAGAUGGCUAAAAUGUUUCCAAAAACAGCCAGCAGAAUAGUUCUGCUGCAUAUUCUUGCAGCUGCUCUAAUUUGAGUGUUAUGUAUUGUGUCCUGUUAGAUCCAGUUGAAAUUACAUCCCUGCAGGGGAAAACGAAACAUCUUUCUAUCCAUAAACAUACAUACGUAUACUUUUAUACAUACACAUCAUGCAUAUAUAAAAUAAUUUCCCUCGGUGUAUAUCUGAACAUUAACUUUUUUUUUCCCCCAGAGAAAAAAUCUGGCACAAAAACCAGGCACUGCAGUAAAUUAGAACUAAACCAGUGAUCUGAACUUUGGAAGAGAGAAUUACCAGUGUGUCAAGAUUCACAACAAAGAACUGCAGAUACACCAAAUACGUACAGAAAGUCAUUCUAGCAGAGCUGCUCCCUUUUGCCACACCGCCAUAUCUUUGAAUUGUUCAAUUUCCUUUCUGGCCCUUAACUGAGUCUUAUUCUGUGAUAAACUUUAGAAUUGAUUUCAUGGAAUUUUUCUAGCAGUUACUUCUUCACAGCUUAAAGGAUCUGUCCUUUCCUUGGGGUUCAAGGAAACUUGAAAUUUGGUCAUUCGAUUUGAAUGCAGUCUCUUUUCUCUUACUUUCUUCUACACUUAAAUGCUUCUUUUAUUCAAACAACCUCACUGAUCUCAACGGGAAGACUAUUACAUGAAGGUGCUACUCAGUUUGAGUGGAGACAGCAGAAGACUUUGGAUCCCUCUUUGCUUGGGGGCCACUUUUCCAUUUAUUUAAUUUCCGUUGGCUGCUUACAAAAAUUUCCUGCCAAAAUUUUCCCGAGGGGAAAAGGCAUCCCAUUCAGACCAACAUUUAGCCAUCAGGUAGUUUAUACAAGAUAAGCAUAUAGCAAGUUAUGGUUAUUCAGAGUAGCAUUGAGCUGCUGGCUUGCCCCAGGUGGCAGCUAGCCGUACCCUUGGCGAUUCCUCUGCAGAUAAAUUUUCUGUCCUUCAUGAGGGUUGGAUUUCACAGAAUCACAGAAUUGUAGGGGCUGGAAGGGCCCUCUAGAGGUGAUCAAGUCCAACCCUCUGCAUGUUCCUUACCAUAGGUCACACAGGAAGGCAUCCAGAUGGGUCUUGAAUUUCCUCCCAUCCCAAAAUAAAGGCAAGCAGCAGGAUUUAGGGGUCCUCCUCCACAUACAACCCUCACUGACAAAGGAGAAAAGCCAUCCUCCAGACAUCUCUCUUAGGCAUCCAUGCCCGGGUUGGGCCACCUAUGCCGCUUCUGAGAAUCCUAAGGCCCUCAGCCCCUCGGAAUGUGCUUCUGGUGAGCACACACAAGCAUCAGCAGUGCUGACUCAAGCAACUCAGGGGUUUGCAGGGAGCAAAGCUGCUCUCCCUCCCCCCACUCAGCCCAUGACUGAGACAGGCCCCAGCCCCACCAAGGUCACCGCCAUUUCUAUCUUCCUCAAUGUGUUGCGCCAGCUUUUCUGGCUGCCCUGGGAAAGCAGCAGAGCUGACCUUGCUGGGUACUAUAAUGCUGGAAAUUUGCCCGUGACAUAUAUUUACACAGGAAUAUUGCUCGAAGGACCCAGGCAUGGCCUAUACCUCCCUAGAGGGCAAGGAAAGGGGAGGCCAUGGGUCCAGGCCACCUGUGCAGGUAGGCCAAGGUGGUACAAGGGGAGCCUGCUCUGCCUCUGAUCUCCUCCAGCCUGUGAUAAUCUGCACCUGCUGAGGAUCUCCCAAAGCUCUGGAGUGAACCAAGCACAGUGCUUGGUAUCACAUUGCACAGAGGCAGAAGAACGCCACUAAGAAGAUGCAAAACCUCAGCUCACCCCACCAAAAGUUUUCCAUUCUCCUCCUUCAUUCCCACUGGAGUCGCACUCCCUGAAUUUAAUAGUUUCAAGAAGAGGAAAAAAAAUCUCUGGAACUGGUUUUUUUUUUUUUUCUCUCUCUCUUGUAUAUUAAACAUUUCCAGUCAGGCUGAACUUGUGUGAGAGUCUCUGCAGUGAAGCACUCCGCCAGCAUGUCCCUCUGGGAACUUCAGAUACUAUUUAUUUAAUGUUUUUACUCUCAUUGAAGAUUGUGUCCCAGUAGGUGUCAACAGCAUUUUUGCUCUCUCACAGCUCCUUGGUCAGCCUGUCCUGUGAACUGGAGGAUUUUCCUACCCAAGGCAGCCAACAUACUUACAGACUUGCUCACAUGAAUGUUUCAGAAACCUGCAGCUAUGUUUUAAAAUUAUCUGGAGAUGAUUAAAAAUUAACACAAGCCAUGGCGAUGACGGAUGUUCUUCCAGGCUUCCUGCUGAAAUCUUAACAUCCAGCAAUUCUAUACUCGAGUCCAAAUUAUCUCUAAAUGGUAAAGAAUGGGAUAAAUCACAGCUGUCACUUUACAAAAACAGUAUAGAAGUUCUUUUUAGCCAUCAGUCUUCUGUUCUACUGCUACUGCAAGUUGCCUUUUAUUUAUGCUGCUGCUUAAGGAGAUUGCCAGGAUCACAGGACAUUUGCUCAUCUGAAUAAAGACUACUCCACGUUAACUUAUUGUGAUACUGCGAAGACAUUUCUGAUUCCACAGAAGAAAACUUCAGCGAGACAAGGACAGAGAUUGGGGAUGUUUUCUCUACAAGUGUCCACAGUUUUUGUUUUCCAAGAGAAGGGAGGAGCUAUGUGGCCCUGUUCCCAUUUAAUCACUCAAAGAGGAGCCAGGAACUGCUACGUUCCAGUUGCAGUUUGGACGUGGCCACCUUCCUUGUUUUGUCUAUUUAUCUGCAAGCUCAUUGCAGUAUGGGACAGCAUUUUAGCAGCAACGAGAAAAACAGAAGUCCUGUCUUUAAGACAGGUCUUUAAGAGACAGCAAACAAACAACCACAGCAACGAAAAUCCUCAAAUCCAGCCUAAGAUGAAGGAGUAACCUUAAAAAUUCAAGCAUCCAAGGAGUGGGGAAGGAAAAUUCAGACUGAGCGUGCAGCUCCUCAGCCCCCUUGCUGUGCAUUCAUCAGAAGGGAGGAUGGUGUUUCUUUCUCACGCAGCUCCUUCCCUCUGUGCGCUCAAACAUAUGGUUCGCUCCUCCACACCGCUUGCAUGCCAUGAACCUGCAUUUCAGCAGCUGCCUCUGCCACAGCCCAGAGCAGCUGGGAACAUCCCUUGUAGGCCUGGGGUCCGGAUGCUCUCAGCUGCUUUAGAAGGCUGAAAUUUGCUCAAGGAAGGCAUAACUUCUGGCAGCUUUAGCAGCUAAGCAGUAAGAAGUCUCUAGUUAGAACCAUGGGCACAUUACAUGAUUCAAAGGCUUAAAACUGGACAGAGGUGGGUGCAUUUUGCUAGGAAGGGCAUUCCUUCCUCCUUUCCCGGCCCCACCUCAGACACAAAAGCCCCCUCCCAGAUUCUUGUUUCAGUGCAGGCAUGCUUGGGUAUUUCAAAGGAAAGGUCAGAAGAAUUUCUAACAUGGGAGAAGCAACGUGCUUUUCUUGUUCCUGCUCUUUGAGCUGCCAUCAUGAUUUUGACCAAAGUUUCCUGACAAAAUGUUAGGCCUAAAGAGGACCUAACAAAGAGAACACCACGGUCUUACACUGGGAAAUGUUAAGUCAUCUUAAUAAAAAGCUGUUGCCACCAGCCUCACCUAAAGGUACUGUGAGUCAGAGUAAUGAUAUGGAUUCCAGGUCUCACCACUUAAUUAGAGUGCCCUAAUUUCUUUAAGAUACAAGUAUCUAUCCAACUGGCCGUGCCGCCCACUGCUCGCCUUCCGGUGAUCUCAGGAACCGUUCAAGGCAGUGCAACAGGCACAUCAACACCGCACAUGCCACACCUCUGACCUCUUAAAUAAUGAGGUUCUGUGCCUUUGUGAUCUGCAUGUCAGCUGAUCCGUGCAGGCAACGUUUCACCUUCGCUGUGGGUAUCCACUUCUGCUCAUCCUGGCAGUUACACACGGGCUCUUGCUCACGCUGCUCCAACCGUAAUGUCAGGCAAUCACAAAUCUCUCCCACUUUAUAAUCACCAUGCGAGAAUUUGGUUUUACGUUCACUGGCUACUGUUGGCACGUACCUUAGAACAAGGCAAGAAAACAUAGUUAGGUUCUUCAGAAAGAGACAACUGUGGAUCUGUGCACUUCCAGGGCAUCUGUUUUUCAAAGACGACGAGCAGGUCAGUGCCAAGCUUUUAGACUCAAUUAGUAAAGGCGGCCCUCAAAAAUAAAACACUCGGACUCCUGAAAAAUGUCAAUGGGAAGCAAGUACUUAGCAUUUCUGAGAAUUGGGCUAAAUUUACAACAGACUGAAGGUUGGGGUCUGGCACUGGAACAGGCCUUUACUAUCCAGAUGCAGUAUUAGUCUUUCAUAAAGAAUUUGUACUGUCCUUAUCCAAUUUCCAUUCCUGACUAUGGCUUUCAGUGAAAUGCAUUAUUUCUCUCUACUUUAUUUCUGCUAAACGCUCCUUUUAAGCAGGAGGAUUAUUAAACUCACAUUCCAAGUCUUCCUUCAAUGUUACAACUAUUUCCUCUACUGAAAUGCAAUUCUAUUCCACAAAGAGACUUUGGGAAGGGAAGAAAAAAAACAUCUGUAAGAUUGCUUAUUUGCUGUUUCUCCAAAGUCUUGCUCAGCAAAGGUGCUCAGAGAUUACAGAAAAUCUGCUGGGACCUGACAGUGAGGUCCAUGACCACUGGUGACAACAGUUCCUAUUGUCAACUGCAGAAGCAACAGAUGCCUUCUUUGCUGAGUUUUGUGUAACAGCACUACCAGGCUGAUCCUGACAGGUAGCAAACAGUGCUGUCAAAACUACAAGAGUGAAUCACGUUUACUUUUCCUUCCACUAGCUGCCUCCACUCCACAGCUCUAAGCGUCAGCGGCAAUGAGAAGCCUGUUUUUAUCACUAAAGCACACAAACAGUAAGCUGAGGACACUCGAGCACUGCCCUGGCGACUCACGUUGGUGACUCAGGACCAGUUGGUCUCACAGAGUUAACUCUCAAUUCAAUACAAAUCCCGUCUCUGACUAAAGCUCCAGGCAAAGUUUUCAACUCUACGGAGCGACGUUUUUCAGUUGGAGGAGGCAAGCCAUCCAGCAGCACAGCUUCAGCUUCUGUGGCCUUCCACACUUGCUCUUCACCCUUGCGUUGCAACAGGACUUUGCACUGACUAUACUAAAACCAAGACAGCAGAUGUGAAAACCACGACAGCGUCAGGCUUCCGUACUUGGGUUCACUUUCCUAUGAAAGCAGAGGCACCAUUUUUACAGGCUCAUUUCUCAGAGUGGCAAAUUGCUGCGCUUUCACUUUUUGUCCAAGCUCCCUCCACCCUCCCCGAUGUCUUCAAACCCAGUGUCUCCACUCACCUGUGUCACCCCAAGUUCCUCACUGUCUCCAAACACCCACAGCUGAUGAGUCUCUCUUCCAGCUCUUUGUGCACUGGGUGAAAAAGCUAUCAUGCUCUACCACUCCUGUUACCACUUGUCGUCCAACCACUUACAUAAGCCCAUGACCUCUGAAAUAAAAGCAUUUGCUUGCACUUGGGUAGAGCUGGUUGGUUGGAAGAGAAAUUGGAGAGGAAAAUGAUUUAAAAAACAGUCACAGAAGCAAGUUUCCAGAAUAUGUAUUUUUGGUUUUCCUUUCAACUUUGCUAUUUCCUCUAGUCCACCACUGCUCACCAUCAAAGAAAAAAAGUUUCAACCAGCAAAGUCAAUUUGUUUAACAUUUCCACAUAACCUCCAGCAAAUGGGAGCAUCCUGUAGCACACGGAGUCACCGAAAGCCUUGCUAAGCACAGAUCAAAAGGAUGCAAGGAACUGGAAAAGAACAUUCACCUUAGGUUGUAAACAUUCAUUUAUAUUUAUACUAAACAUAUAAAUAGGUCUAGAGAGCCUGGUAUUUCUAACAUGCCAAUUAUCUCUGUACUCUGGUGCCCUGCUCACUAACAAAAACAGCUUCACUUUUGACCGAGAAAGUCAUGUUGCACGGUGCUUUCUCAAAAUGAGUUCAUUAUUUUGUGCAAAGGAAGGGAUGUUUUAAUCCCCCUUCAAUAACGCUGUUGGAUAGGACAGCACAUACAUACACGGCACCCACAGGGCAGCUCGUUUCUGUUAGCACAGAGGCAUCUGUGGAGGUCUGCGGAGGCAGUGGGGCUGAUGGGCACGGAUAUGCACACUGCAAACGUCAGAGCUGGGUUAGUAAUUUAAAUGACAAUAAACAGUAAAAUAAAUAUUUUCAAAGCUAAAUAACAAUCAAAACACAGAACAGGUUUUCCCAGCCCCUCUAAUUUGGACGCAAGGAGGUUCAAUAAGCUCAACCAUUCCCACGAGCACCCCUGGCUGCAGGCAUCACACUGUCAAAUCAAGUGCUAAAACACACCUGGACAGAAGUGUGCACAAGGUGGGCUGACGCUUUUCUCCAGAACAGCUUUGGAGGAGCUGUACAACAGAGGUCAUGCCUCCAGCACCAAAGAACACUUAGUAUUUAUCCCACUGCAAGGGUCAUUUUGUGAAACGAGAGCAUACUUCUGCACACACCAAGCUUGCCCCCGAGUUACAGCAGCCUCUGGACCCGCACCCAGCACUGAGGUGGUGGUCCUGUUUCACAUGCCUGUGAAACGUGGAGAGGCUGCCUUUGGAUAACAUGCUCUGAGACUCAGUUGCCCUUGCAAGCUUUCAGGCUCCGGAGCAAAGCACACACAGUGGCUGCAUCUCAUCAGACACGCAAGGGGUAAAAAGUCAGUGCCUGAAGGCUGCAGGUCUGCAUUUCCUUGUGCUUCCUCCCCACGGCGUUAGUUCAAAGGAUGUGAUGCGACCACAGGAGUGCAGAGCAUCUCCCCAGCGGGUGGGUGACAACAGCUGGGCUGUGCCCUGGGGAGGGGAGCCCACACUUAGGCCUGCCACAUCCCACCCAACCCAUCUACCUCCGACGUGCCGCUGGGUGAGCGCACCAGUGCCAUCUGUUAGGAAAGCGUCACCUCAGUCUGCAAUGGGAAUGCCCACCUCAAAAUCCAUCCGGAAGAAGGUGGGGUUUGAGAAACACUCUCCUUUCCCUGAUGUUUCCUAUCCUUUGCUCAGCACUGCCUGCUCGGAUGGCUGCCCACGCAGCACCAGGAUGCUGCAGUGCUCCAGGGACAUUGGGGCCUUACAGGCGAGGUUUGGUGGUGCCCAGGGCCAUCGCAGGCCAAACCUUCACAAACCAACCUGUCACAGAGCUCUGCUCUAAAGCCACUCAAUGCUCAGAAGAUCAGCUUUGAGCGGAAUGCAGAUGCAAGUCCACAGCUUCCUCCAGUAAUAACCUUAGAUUUCCCUCUGUGGCCAAAUAAUCCAUUUUGUUGAUCAAAUUAGCAAACUUUUGCUCGAAUCACAGGGGACGUGACGCUAUUUGUGACAGCUUGGGAAGGCUGUAAAUCAUCCACAGACUGUACCGGGAAUAUCACACAAGUCAUUGUAACGCUUUAUGGAGCGCACGUUGCUAUCUCGCACGAACCAUAUGUUGUGGUGUUUGUGUUAUCCAACCCUUACAUAAGCCGUUGAUGAAAUUACCAUCACAACACAACAGCGCCGAUGGGACGGAGAAGGGAAGCCAGGCGGCCGCCGCUUCGGGAUGGUGGGGAAGGCGCACCUCGCGGGGCUGGGGAUGAGAGGGCGAGCGGGACGCAGCGCGUUCACUCCAAAGAGCGGGGCUGGGGAUGGAGCUGAGCGGUUGGGAAGCCUACGGGAUGUUGCAGGAGGGAGCCGAGCGCUCCGGUGCGCUCCGGGCCGCUCCAGGACCCGCAGCGGUAGCGGUGCCAGCCCGGC
ensembl:lncRNA